GUUAGCUGCCAGUCUGUCUUGUCUGUUAUUGUGUGUGCCUAUAUGUCCUGUCUGAGAAUCAGCUGUAUCGGUCACACCCACUGAGGAUGAUAUACAAAGGCUAUGGCCACUGUCCACCUAACCAGAGGUAUGGAAUUGAAAAUUCACAGUUUGCUAACAUUGCAUCCAUAACCUGCUGAAAAAUUGCAGGUGCGACCAUUAAACCAAAUGGUAAUCUGGUGUUAUGAAGCUUAUAUUGUUUUUACCCAGUUUGCUGAAAUUGGUGUCUCCAGCAAGAUUUAUAUCUACAUUAUGACAUUUGUCUUACUUUGUAUUGUAUCAUGGAAUUGAUGUCAGCUCCAGUUUGGAAAACCUGUAAAUUGUACCUUCCUUUCUCCAACCACAACCAUGCCUCACUAUCACAAUUUUCAGCAGCUAUCAUUGGAAGUCUAUCAUGCGAAGGCUUCUCUUGCAAGUCAGAUAAUCUUGCUUAUUUUAUUUUUUUUUUAACUGCAUUUGAUUUUUUGGUUUCUCAAAUUUCUGCUGUUACACUAGCAACUCUUAAUAUAAUUUCUUCACUAUUACCUUGUAGGUGGCUAUAUCUACUGUACACAGUCUUCUACUGAUAUUAACCCUGUACCACCUUCCUUCUUAGGUAAAUAUAAUCUUGCUUCUACUGCUCUAAGAUGAAGUUCAUUUGUAUUGAAUUCAUAUUGAGUUCUUCUGUCAAGAUAUGCUAAUUCAGAUUUUGCCUGAUGUACAAAAGCUGCUGAGUAUCUAAGUAAUGAUACUGCCCGAGUAUUUACAGCCUUCACUAAAUUUGGACCGUUUAGCUUUGACUUAACUAGCUUCCUCAUCCUUCUGAUGUACUCUGUCAAAUACUUGGAAUCUAGGAGUAUUGGAAUCCCUCUUUCAGUGAUUUUAAUGUCAGGCCUUCUGAUAACUGAAUACCUUCACUGCUGACUGCCUGUCCCUUUUUUAUGACUAAUUUUUCACACUUAUCUAUGCCAAAUUCCAUACCUAUAUCUUUGCUGAAGAAGCUUACAGUCUGUAUUAAAGAAUCUAUCUCUUUAAUUUUUACUAAAAAGCUUCAAAUCAUCCAUGUGGGGCAAAUAGUUAAUUUUUCCUUUACUUUCUCUAAACUGAUACCUUGCCUAAUACUAAACAGAGUGGGGUUAAACAUAACACAAGUAUUAAAGAGGAUAAUGAGUCUCCCUAGAAAAUCCUCUCUUGAUGUUAAUUUCCAUAAAACUGUAUCACCUGAGUAAAGAUCUACUUUCCAUUUCUUCCUGAUUAAACUUCUUAUGUUGUCUGCAAUACAGAAUAUACUCAAACAUUCACUUAUCCAUAUAUGUGGCAUCAUUUCAUGAGCUUUCUUAUAAUCUUUCUAUGCUAUUCUUAAAUUUUUCU